AUUGAACGCUGGCGGCGUGCUUAACACAUGCAAGUCGAGCGGCAGCGCGGGAGCAAUCCUGGCGGCGAGCGGCGAACGGGUGAGUAAUGCUUCGGAAUCUGCCCUUCAGUGGGGAAUAACCAGUCGAAAGACUGGCUAAUACCGCAUACGAACUGAGGUUGAAAGCAGGGGAUCGCAAGACCUUGCGCUGAUGGAUGAGCCGAAGUCGGAUUAGCUUGUUGGUGGGGUAAUGGCCUACCAAGGCGACGAUCCGUAGCUGGUCUGAGAGGACGACCAGCCACACUGGGACUGAGACACGGCCCAGACUCCUACGGGAGGCAGCAGUGGGGAAUAUUGGACAAUGGGGGCAACCCUGAUCCAGCGACGCCGCGUGUGUGAAGAAGGCCUGCGGGUUGUAAAGCACUUUUAGUGGGGAGAUAAUGACGGUACCGCAGAAGAAGCCCCGGCUAACUUCGUGCCAGCAGCCG
rnacentral:rRNA from 1 species